GGAAGUAAAAGUCGUAACAGGGUUUCCGUAGGUGAACCUGCGGAAGGAUCAUUAACAAUCAUUGUUGUUGUGUGUGGUAGUCAUAUGCCAUGCAUCUACACAUUUGUACCACAUUUCCUGAUUGGGAAUGUGUCAUAUAAAAUGACUAAUGAACACUAAUUUAUCAUAAACAACUUUUAACAACGGAUCUCUAGGCUCUU
rnacentral:misc_RNA from 1 species